UACACAGCAGCUAGGAGGUUGCUCCCUAGCCAGGUGGAGAGAGGCACAGUUUUAUGCAAGCUAGCGCGCUAACAAUAGCAGUGCGGCCCCAGUGUGCGGGUGGACGCCAUAGUACAAUCCCGCUCACCCCCAGGGAACAUACUCAGGCACCUUUCUGGGACAGGCCUGGGACCCGGGCCGGCAGCAGACAUGGGGCAGAGUGAGUCCGAGCCCCAGGAUGAGCAGGAGGAUGCAGCGCUCACAGCCGUGCUGCCCAACCUUAAGCUCUUUGUGGAAGAUCAGCUCCAGACCAGCAUGGUGCUGGGUGUCAUGAUGGGCAUUGGUGUUUCCAUGUUGCUCAUCGCCACCUUGAUCCU